GAAGAGGUACCUUCUGCCAUGAUUGUAAGUUUCCUGAGGUCCCCGUGAGCCAUGCAGAACUAUUACCUGCUAAGAAGUGGGCAUCAAGACACGAAGACUAUCUCUGAAGGAAAAGGAAGACAAAAAGGGCAAAACUCACCAGGCUUCAAUUAACAGAAGUGUCUUUCUCAUACACUAUUUUAUUUUUUAUUUUUAUUUUUAUUUUUGAGACGGAGUCCUCCUUUGACACCAAGGCUGGAGUGCAGUGGUGUGAUGUGAUUCUUCUGCCUCAGCCUCCUGAUUAGCUGGGACUACAGGCACGCGCCAUCACGCCCAGCUAAUUUUUGUAUUUUUAGUAGAGACGGGGUUUCACCAUGUUGGACAGGAUUGUCUCGAGCUCCUCAUCUCAAGUGAUCCAACAGCCUUGGCCUCCCAAAGUGCUGAGAUUACAGGCCUGAGCCACCACGCCCAGCCCAUACAGUAUUUUAGAAGCAAUGAACCAGACAAUCUUUCUGCUGAAGUGGUCCAAGCACAGUUUUCCCUGAAGUGCAGUCCCUCUAGAGAACCCUGACUCGAUGAGUAUCAACAACAUCCAUAUUCUCCACCUGAGUUCUGAGCCAUUCAAAAUACAGACCUAGCUGUCAAACAGUAGGAGGGAGAGGACUCUUGGAAGCUUGUACCUGGAUUCCUCUCAGACUUCACUUCAUGUACCUUUUCCCUUUGCAGAUUUUUCUUUGUAUCUUUUAGCUAUAAUAAAUCUUAUUCAUGAGUGCAACUA